CUGCAAUCAAGCUCUCCCAAUAAAUGUGUACAGAAAGAUCCUGUUGCAGCGUCGUUACUGCUGGCCAGUCUGGCGCGCGCAAGACCUAGCUUCUGCAGGUGCUCCAGACCCAACUCAGAAGUCUAUAGCCUUGAACCUAAGAUCUACAUAUAAGAAAGAAUAUGUAGCAUUUGUUGUUCUGAGUCCGGAUUAACUCGUUGUCAUCAUCAUUGUCAUCGUCAUCAUUGUUGUUUUCUUUUAUUCUGGUUCUAUCCAUUCACCUGAAAAUUUUGUAUUUUAAUUUUUCCUCACAGCUAACUAAAAUUUCAUUGUGCAGACACACCAAAUUUUCAUUGUUCAUCCAUCAGCUGAUGGACAUCUAUGCUGAUUACCUUUCCUAGCUAGUGUGAAAAGAAUGGCAGUGAAUAGGAAUGAGCAUGCGUCUGCAGUAGGAGAUCCAGUUCUCUGGGUAUGUCCAAGAGUGGUAUAGCUGGGUUAUAUAGUAUUCAUAGUUCUAGUUUUUGGGGAGCCUCCAAACUGCCAUCUAUAGUGGUUGUACUGGUUUAUAGUCCCAUCAACAGUGAAUAAGGAUUCUCCUUCGUUACCUCCUCAAAACAUUUGUUUAUCACAUGAUAGCCAUUUUGAUUGAGGUGAGAUGGAACUUAAAUGUUGUUUUAAUUUGCAUGUCCCUGAUGGUUAGUGAUAGCCAAUACUUUUUUUAAACAUGGUUAUUUAGUCAUUUAUAAUUGCUCUUUUGAGAACUCUUUGUUGAAAUAUGUAGUCCAUUUAUUUGUUUUAUUUUUCUGUGUAUGGGUAUUAUACCUCCAUGUAUGUUUCUGUACCACAUGUGUGCCUGGAGCUUUCAGAGGCCAGAAAUGACAUCAGAUCUCCUGGAAUUGGAGUUACAGGUAGCAUUACAGUAGCUGUGAAUUGGUCUAUAGUUGCUGGGACUUAAACCCUGAUCUUCUAGAAGAGCAGCUGUUGAUCUUAAAGUCCCCCUCCCAUCCCCAUUGUUUUGAUUGAGUUGUUUGUUGUCUUGAUUUUAUAUUUCAAUUCUUUGUUUACUUUAGUCCUCUGUUGUCUAUAUCACUGACAAAGAUUUUUUUGGGCUGCCUACUGACUCAAUCAACAGCAUCCUUUAGUGCUUUUUUAUACUUCGUCAGUCCGAUUUGUCCGUUGCCUUCCUGGGUGACUUGCAGUAUAUAGAGAAAGUUCUUACUUGUGUAUGAUCUUGUAGCAUAUUUCCCAUCUUUUCAGAGUUUCAGGUUCUUGGUUGAGGUCUUCAAUCCAUGUAUAUUUGAUGUGUGUGUGUGUGUGUGUACACGCACAUGCGCGUGUUUGAGUGUAUACAGUGGGAGAUAAAGCUCUAGUUUCAUUCUGCUACUUGUAGACAGCUACUGUCCCCAACAAUUUGCUGACAAUUCUGUCUUUAGUGUAUUUUUUGGUCAUCUUUCUAAAAGUAAAUAAAUAAAUAAAUAAUAAAAGGUGGUUAUAAUUUCAAAGACAUAUAGCUGGGCCUUCUGAGUGUUCUGUUGGUCUAUGUGUCUGUUUUUGUGCCAGAACCAUGCUUUUUAUUAUUGUAGUAUGACAUGAGAUAGGAUAUGGUAAUCCCUCCAUUAGCAUAGCUUUGGCUCUCAGAGGUCUUUUGAACAUCCAUGAGCCCUUUGAUGGGGAGUUCAUUGAAACUGUAAACUGCUCUUGGUAGGAGAGUCAUUUUUACAAUAUUAAUUCUUCUACUCCACAAGCAUGAGGGGUGUCUUUCCAUCUCCUAUAUCCUCCUGCAGUUCUUCCAUCAGAGUUUUAAGGUUUUCACUACAGAGGCCCUCCAGCUUCAAAGUUAGGUUUAUUCCAAGACAUACAUUUUUAAGAGCAUCAUACAUGGAAUUGUUUCUCUGGUUUUUUUGCUCAAGGUCUUUUUCAUUGAUAUAUAGAAAGACUGCUGACUUAUAUGUGUUAAUUUUGCAUCCUGUUACUUUGCUGAAAAUAUUGAUAACUUCUAUGUGUCUUGUGAUGGAGUCUUUAGGGUUCCUAAUAAGUCGAAUCGUGCCAUCUGAUAACAGGGAUAGUUUGACUUCUUUUCCUAUUUGAAUCAACUGUAUUUCCUUUUUCUGUCUUAUUGCUCCAACUAAGAUUGUGCACACUAAUUUGAAUGGGAGUGGAGACAAUGGACAGCCUUAUCUCAUUCCUGAUUGUAAUAGGAUCACUUCAGAUUUUUCUCUCUUUCACAUCAUAUCGACUGUGGGCUUGCCAGCUGGAGCCUUUAUUAUGCUGAUGUAUGUUCUUUCUAAGAUUUUUCUGUCUGGGGCUUUCAUCAUGAAGGGAUUCUGUUUUUUUUUUUUCAAAAGCCUUUUCGACAUCUAUUGAAAUGAUCCUGGGAUUUCUGUCUUUGAAGUCCAUUUAUCUAAUUUAUUACAUUUAUCAAUUUGGGUAAGUUGAACCAGCCUUGCACCUCUGGAAUAAAGCCAAGGAGAUCAUAGUAAAUAUUGUUGAUGUGAUUGAGUUUUCCCCCCUCUUUCUCUUCUUUUGAAACAAGGCCUGUCUGUAUAGCCCACACUGCUUUUAAACUGAUAGCAAUCCUCCUGCCUCAGCUUCCUGAUGCCUGGGACUCUAGAUAUGUGCCAUGAUGCAGGGCAAAGACUGGAAUUUUAGGUGAAAUAAUAUCACUCAUGAAGACAUCUUGGCCCUGAGCUGAAGUUACAUGAGGAGGGCUGCCAUUGUUGAUGAUAAAAGAUGAUAAUUUAUCUUAGACGCUGACUAAACUUAUGAUUCUCAUAAUUAUUUUUCUCAGAGGAAUUAUACGGUAGGUGUUAUCUUUUUCCCUUGCUUGGCUGUAGAUUUAGGUGAAGGUUGCUAAGUUUAAGUUAGACUUCUUUUUUAUUGUAGUUUUUAUUGAAGACCUGUGCUUUGUCUACUUCUCUGGGAUACAAAUGGCAGUGGCAGACUGUGGCAGUUUGUAGAUGGUGCGGUGGGAUGCAGGGGCCCUCGGGAGCUCUACUGUUUGCAUUAAAGAGGAACAAGGAAGAAGCAGAUGCUUCAGAAAAAUCAACCACUGGAGCUGCAAUGCAGUAUGUCCUGAGGGAAAAUAAUUCUUGGUGAUGCCAAUCAUCCUAGAAAUGCAUCUUGGUACUAUUUUCAAUUGUAAUAAGUAAAUGUUUGUUCAAGAGAAGCAAAAUAUUUAUUUCCAAACCUCUUAGUUCAAGAAGCUGUAUUUUGUAUGUACCUUAUAAUAAAGGUUUUUUUAUUUUAUUAUUUUUUUAGACUAGUAAGGGAAGAUCGGUAGGUAUGUGGUUGGGUGGAUGAUGGUUGCAUGGAUGGAUGGAUGGAUGGAUGGAUGGAUGGACCAAAGGGCUCCUACCCUUUGUGUUCUGUAACCACUCUCAGGUUCAUUCUUUGUAAUAACUAUGUUCAAGUUGGAAUGAGAAUGAAUGUCCUUAAUGGGUGUCCUACAAUAAAUAAAGAAGUCUAAACCAAUAAGCUUAGCAACCUUCAUCUAAAUCAUUAAGAACUGAGCCACAGGAACUGGUGGGAGUUUGCAGAGACUCUCAAAAGUGCUGGAGUGGCAAGGACACUGAGAGGGACUGAUUUAUGGUGCAGUCAGGUCAAUGCGCAUGUGCUGAUCUCUUGCUGGAUGCCUUUCCACAGAGUAAAUAGUACAGAGGGAGUGCAUGCUGUAUCUUGGCACAGUUUCCUCAAGGGAGCUCAUAAUGUACAAAGUGUUGUGUAGUAAGAUGGCCUAAUUUAUGCAUUAAGGCAGCCCUGAGAAAACAAAGUGAGAAGACUGGGGAAAUGGGAGCAGGAAAUGCUCAGAGGGGGCAGACUGUGAGCUGUGAUCUCUGCAGAGUAAACAGGGAGGGAUGAGUGUGUAAAUCUUUGUUUGGCUCUUCUCCAUUUCUCGCUAUGAGUGCUUUGAAAGGUAUCAAUGGCAGUUGUACCCUGAGAUAUACCCACCCCUUUUCUAGGACCCCAUCUUACAGCUCUUACAGAGCCCCAUCCAUCUACAGGACCUGGGGUGGCAGUUCUAAGUCUUCCUAGGGCUUUAGAUUAGAAAAGCAACUAUGGUGUGAUCAGGUCAAGAAAAAGAAAUGGCUGAAGUGGAUGGAGGAUGGUAGAAGAGAGCCUUUGCCUGACAAAGUUCAGAACCAGGAAAGAGCAAGUCUAUGGCAGCCAGAGCCUGAGGAGUAGCUGAAAUGGAGGUGAAGGGGCAGCCAGAGCCUGAGGAGUAGCUGAAAUGGAGGUGAAGGGGCAGAGGAGUGAGCAUGGAGUGCUACGUAUUUCGGGUGUGUGUUCUAGAGAGCAGAAUGAUACAGUCAGAGGCAACAAAAAGCUUUUGAAACCUUAGAAAACAACACUGGGAAGGAACAAGGACUGGCUAGUGGGAACACGGAGUAAAUAAGGAAUGGUCACAGGAGAAAACAAAAGAAGCUAGUGGUUAUAGCCUUGGGGAAUGGAAUGGGUAAAAGAGGUAGAGAAGGAACAGGAACCAGUAAGAAUCACAGUUACAUAGUUACUGCUAACUGGGAAGUAGCAAGAGGGGUUGCCAUCGGUUAUGGAAAUUAGCUGAAUCCUCUCUAUUUGUUCACUUCAAUUAACAGUGUUUCCAAGCGGAGGCCCUGUUAGCCCUAACAUAAUGACACAUCUCAACUUUUCAAAUGGAUUUUCUCAUUUUCUUCUUUCUUAUGAGACUAUUUGAGAAACGGGGAAAUGGGCAGUUAAAGGAGUUGUUUGAAAGAAAACCAUCCUCCUGGUGGUCACUUCCUGUAUAUAAUGCCGCUAAGAAUAGAUUCACCUGAGGUGUCUGCAGUUCCUCGAGGGGUCAACUUCACACGACAUUUUUUUAUGCAGCCAUCAACUGUUCGCCUGCUCCUAUUGGGUAAAGAUACUUUAAUGGUGGAAAUUUUUAAACGGAUGCCAAAGUGGAGUACUAGGCAAGCCACAUCCUCAGCCCGUACUUGCAUAUAUUUAGGAGAGACUGUUCAGUUGUUAAUUUACAUAUUUAUGAACUUCUAUUUGAAUACUUCAUGUGUACCAAGUCCCGAGUUAAGUGCUUGGUGUAUGUAUAUAUCUUUUGUUAGGUGUGAAGAUGAUUUCUUGGGAUUAAAAUAAUGAUAUUUUUCACUUGUAAUAAGAGAAACUAAAGAGGAAAGUUAAAUCUAUGGGUAAUCUCAAAGCUUUGGCUAACACCAAUUGGCUUUGCUUUUCUUGUCAGUCACCCUAGUGAGGUGACACAGUGAGUUGUUUAAGGGCUGGGAGGGAACUGAAGAAAGACCAGCCAGUUUCUAAACACAGGAGUCCUUGCACAGUUGCUCCGAGGACAAAGCGAUUGGUAGCAUCCCUACCUCUCCCUGGCUCGACUUGCCUGGAAAGUGAUUGCUUUUCAUCCACUUUGUCAUCACCUUUCAGUUUUAAGGACCUUGAUAGCCAUUGCAGACCCGUCUUUUCUCUAACUUAACCUGAUCAUACCACAGUUGCUUUUCUAAUCGAAAGCCUGAGGAAGACCUCGGACUGCCACACCGGGCGGGUAUAUCUCAGGCUAUGUGUGCCAUUGAUUCCUUUCAAAGCACUCCUAGUGGGAAAUGGAGAAAGGCUGGAGAAGGAGAUUUCAGUUCACCUCUCCCUUUAAUCUUUCUUGUUAAAUAAAUGUCUGGAAUGCAUAAAUACUGCCUAGAUCACUGGAUAUGAUGGUGAGGAAAUGGCUGAGGAGGGAACGACAGCUUAGCCUGCUCUUGGUGACACAUAUCCCCGGGGAGAGGAGAGAAACUUUCUCAUGUUGAUGUCCAGUGACUGCUCCUGCUAUCAUCUUCUUCUUUAGGACGAUUGAGUAUGUGAUUUCAUUUCCUCUGUGCUCUUAGUUCCUAGGAAGGUUUAAAAUGGAUAUUUGACAAAAUGUUUUUUUUUUCCCAGAACUGAAGGUAAAUUGUGAAUGGAAAAGACACUUCUGUCCAUUUGCUGUGCGCUCUGCACCUGUGCGCUGUUGAUACUAAGACUCAUUCUUCAAAUAUCAAGCCCUUUGAAAUUAGUAUGCAUAUAAUUUAUGAUGUCUCAUAAUAACUGUCAUCCAACUUUUAAAAAUGGUAAUGUCUUAAUAACUUUGGGUGCUUAUAAUGGGUAAUACGUUAGAUUACAUGAUGUAGAAUUAAUAUCCAAAUAUUUAUAGGACAUUGGUGGCAGAGACAUGAGAAAGGCACUCCUUUCUUUUAAAAAAGUAUCCAAAAGUAAAGCAAGAAGAUUUUUUUUUUUUGACUUUUAACAGUUAAGGUCAAGAGAGGCCAUUUUGUUGUGGAAUUCCAUUUUCUUAGAAGUCACAUACAGGGCCCAGAGAGAGAUGGUUCAGUGGUUAAGAGCAUUUCUAGAGGACCCACAUGUGAUUCCUAGCUCAUAACCACCUAUAACUCCAGCUUCAAGGGACCCAAUAUCCUCUUCUGGAUUCUGUGGGCACCUGUUUUCAUGAGCACAUGAUUACAAAUAAAAAUCAUUUUUAAAAAGUCACAUAAAGACAUAAAAUGCAGCAUAUGCUAGAAUCUCUCUUUAUUUCCUAAAUAAUCUACAGAUUAAAUGAAGAUUGUAACAAUAUUUGUAAAAUGUAUUCUUUAAGUUUUGAUCCCUUUUUUUGAUAUUUAGCUCUAACUUAGGUUUCCAUAGUAUUGAAUAAAAAAAUUAAACCGUCACUAUGUCAUUUAUGUAUGUAUGUAUGUGUGUGUGUGUGUGUGUGUGUGUGUGUGUGUAUGUAUGUAUGUAUGUAUGUAACUUGCCAGUCAUGCAGUCAACAAAACCUCCUAGAUGCUGGACUGUAUGUUAUAAGUAAACAAUCAGAGGACCUAUACACUACCUGGGCAAUCCUAGAAGGUUGAGGAGACCCUGCAAAGAUGACUGCACUCCACUUUUUGGGCUUAGAACACAUUAGAAUUUACUAUCAGUCUCUGGAGGACAUAGAUUCUGACCCUGGAACAGGAUGGAUGGUUUCAAAGGCUACUUAACCGAGAAGUUUGUUAUAAAUGUGGGCAAGUAUGGAGAGACAGAAGACAUUUAUCACUAGCCAGUGUGCCCAAGGAGAAAGAGCAGUGUUCAAUUAUUGAAGUGCUUGUUGAGGGCUUGUGUGAUGGCUCAAAAGAUAAAGAUGCUUGUCACCAAGCCUGAUGAUGCCCUGACUCUACUCCUCAGGACCCACAGUGUAAACUAGAGGACCAAUUUCUACAAGUUGUCCUCUGAUGUCUACAUGUAGAGCACUCUUCUCUCUCUCUCUCUCCCUCUCCCUCUCUCUCUCUCUCUCUCUCUCUCUCUCUCACACACACACACACACAAAAGCAAUAAAAUCAUCCUAGCUUUAUUUAAAAAAUAUUUGUAGAAUGAUUAUUGUAUAUGCUGGGCACAGAAACUGGUCCUUAUACAAUUAUCCUCUGGCCUUGAAAUUGUAAUUUUGGCCUUCAUAACUUUUGGCAAGUUGCCUAACUUACCUUUUCACAAGGAAGCGUGGAAACAUGUGCCAUGCCUACAUCUCUAAGUCUUUAAGGAGAUAAGAAAGUGUUUUUACAUAUGGUAGCAUAUUAAUGCAUGUAUUAUGGCUAUAACUAUGAGAGAGAGAGAGACAGAGAGAGGCAGAGACAGAGAGAAAUAAUAAAACAUUCUUAUGUCUUCUGAGAGUCUGGAUUUUUAUAAUAACCCUGUGGUUUACAUAUCAUACUGUCUAUCACUGUACUUAAUGUAAGGUUGGGGGUUGAAUGGACGUAUGUUCAGGGGUAGGUAUGUACUUAAUACAGCUUGAGUGUUCUAGGAGUGUCCUUACAGUUUGGAAUUAGGAAUGGCUGAUGUCACGAUCAGCCAUAUUGUCAUGACAACCCUAGAAUUCCCUCAUUUGCCUUCUCUUCGCCUUGGGAGUAUCAAUUUGCCAGAGGUCUGUUGUCAGUAUACCCCAUGUGUUAAAUGUGUUAGGUAACUCAGAACUUGUCGUUCUUAAAAGCUCUUAGGGUGGGGAGCUUGGGUAAGCUGCUUAGGUAUCCUAUUUCAGGGUUCUCAGCUACAUAUCCUAAUGUUGGAAAGUUUGCCUUCAUACAUAUUCAACCAACUGAAUGGAAAGCCACUUGUAAUUCUAUUUAUUCUUGUUUGAACUUUAUAAUUCGGUGAAGAAUGAGAAACUUUUCUCCAUUCUCAUUUCCAUAAAGGACAUCAUUAAUUAUUCUAGCAUCUUCCUCUUCAGGUGUAAAAGACCUAAUUUAAUGAUGAUCUUAGCAACCGAAGAGACAAGAAGCUUUUGAUUGGUUUUCUUUCAUUUUUUGGAAUGCUUUGAGCUGAAUCCCUGGUAGGGACCUGCCCUGACAUUUAGCAUUGUGUUCUAACAACCUUGUUACUGUUCCUGGCUGACAUGGGGUUUGUUUGUCCCAGGUACAGUUUGCUGUGCACUGUCAAAGUUGUCACUCACCUAAUUGAAUUUUACUCAUGGAAAGGAGGUGGUUAUUCCAGGUUUGAACUAAUUUUGUUUUCCAUCAUUUAAAGAUUUGGGUUUAGUUUUGAAAAGACUCUGUCCAUUUUCCUCGGUGCCCUCUGUCUCUUUGAAGAUGCUGUGGCAGAGAGGAGGGCUGCAAUUAGCAGCUUUCCAGCCCUGCCCUUCCCAGCUGUUACUCUUACCCCAGUUCACACAUGCACAGAUGAUUAUCCUACUUCAAGCUCCCCAGGUAAACUAAUUUCAGGGAUUACCCAGUGGUCAUAGCUUUCCUUCCUAACUUGUGAGCAUUAACAGCUUGUGGAAAUGCUCCUGAGUUAUCUGAAGAGUCUGAAAAUGAACUCUCAUUUUUCUUAUAGACCUCCCCAUAGUCCAGCAGCUCCAGCACUACAUUUCCACAGUCCAGGGAGUGGAAGGGAGAAGAGUUUCCAUCGGGGUAAUUCAGGAAGACAGCAACACGCAGUGUUUGGGAAUGACUUUCACCUUAUCCAAGUUACUCAAACACUUGAUAGCUUUUUCCUAUAGAAUCUGAGCUAUGGGUACAAAUUCAUUAUAAUACAAACCGAAUCAAUACAAACUAUUCAGGCUUUAUCUUGUCCAUAGGAAAGAUUUUGUUCUGUUCUGUUUUAGAAAGACUAAGCUAUCUGUUUUUAUAUUUUAAAAAAUAUGGGGAAAUUACCUUUUUAGAGUUUUUAAGACCAGAAAUUUAGGUGAACUUUUGAUUUUGAUUAAUCUUUUCAAGAGUAGUAACUAUGUCAAAAUUAUUUGUCUACAACUUCUAAGAAUUUUGAAGCAUUUUUCCCCCCAUGGGGAUAAAUGUCCUGAAUAGUUAAGGUUUUGGUUGAUUUGACUUAUAAUUUUACAAUUAAACUAAUCUCAAAUAGGCCUUAUAUUAGUUUUUGAGGAAAAGUAUGUUGCUAAUUUUACUUCAGAAUUCUAGAAGUUUCUUCAUAUCUUGCCAUGAUAUAGAAGAUAGUCCUUCUUGCCUCUUUCACAAUUCCAUCCCUCUAAUCGACUCGCUAAAAUAAAAUAGUUGCAAAAGAGUCUGCUUAACAACCAUUAGUAAAGUAAGAUCUUUACAUCUGGACUUUUCAAUAUGUAUUCUAAUAAUGGAAGGUUUGCCCAGUAGUCAGCUAAAUAGGAGUUUAGCGCCCAGAUCUCCUCAAUCUCCAAAAGCCCAAUAUAAUAUGAAUAUAUCCUAAAUUGAAGAUGCAUGUGUUGGUUUAAUCUAGAGAACAGCAUGACUUGAGAAUGGUAUAGUUGUCUGUAGAGUAUUGGUUGUCUCCCCUUGACUGUGGCUGAUGGCAGUGUGUGUGUGUGUGUGUGUGUGUGUGUGUGUGUGUGAGAGAGAGAGAGAGAGAGAGCGAGAGAGAGAGCAUUCAUUAAUAGUUAAUGAUAAUAAGACAUCACAUUUGGUGCGGGAGUGUAAGAGAUUCAAGUUUAAGCCCCACUUGCCCCAUGGGUUAGAUCUGUGACUCUGGGUAAAAGCGACAGGCAUUCUGGCAUGGGUUGUGUAUAUGAUGUGUUUGUGUGGAAUGACAUAGUAAAUGACAGCCAGUAUUAGUUAGUCAUCCAUGCAGACAAGCUGCACUUGUGUAAAGCUCACGUCUCCUGCUUUCCUCAUUAGGAGAGAUUUAAGAUUAAUCCAAGCAUGGCUUCUAAGAGUCAUCCACAUAAGGCUACGUUUAUGGUGCUCUGUAUGUAUGCUAGACUUUCAGCUAUGCUUUUAUUUUAUUGUGGUGGUUUCAUUUUUAUGUGUGAUUUUGUGCAUAUCUAGGGAGCCUUUAAGUCUGGAAUAAGAUUUGCAAUUUUUUUGUUUUGUUUUGUUUUUGUUUUUUAAGGAAAACAGUACAAACUAGAAAAUAUUGUUUCAUUUCAGAGAUAGGGUACUUUCCUAAAUAUUUUGUGCAAAACCAGAAAUAUAAAGAAUUUUUUGACCUCAUAUUUUUUGCUUCUCUUUUGCUAGCAGUCAGUCAGAAGUUUUGUGAGCUUUUAAACAACUCUUAAAUGUGAUUCUUUUCCCAUGUGAGUGACCUACACGGACCAACGCUGUACUCUUGCGCCUUGUGCAUUAAAGGUUGUGAUUUGGAACAAUGUUGAAUGAGUUUUUCUCCUUCCUUUCAGUGUUCAGUUUGACCUAAAUAAGACAGGGUUCUUUCGCUGUUGUAGGAUGUGACACAAGGACCGAAUCUACUUGAGACCAGCUCUUUAUUUGUAGAGUGUUAUUUUUUUUUAUCUUGUUAUAUAGCCUUUCAAAAGUUACCUCCACCACCAUACUUUAUAUAUACUGCUUUUUUACAAAUGUGUGUGCAUGUGUGUCUUUGUUUAUGCAUGUGCAUAUGACUUUGGGAAUCAUCCUUAAAAGCACCAGUCACAUUCUUUGAGGCAGGAUCUCUCUUUGCCUGGCUCUCACUGAUUAGGCUAGAAUGGGGGGUGGGGCAGCAAGCUCAGGGAUCCACAGGUUUCUGCCCCUCAGCCUUGGGGUUACAGGCAUGCUCUACCACACCUAUUGUUUUACAUAAGUGCUGGGGGCUGAACUCAUGUCAACCUUGCAAUCCCUCAGCCCCACUGGGUUUUGUUUCUUCUAUUUUUGUUGUUGUUGUUUGGUGGUUGUUUUAACUUUUAAUACAAAUGUUAUUUGUAUUAAACCACAGCCCCAAAUGGUUUCUCUGUGUAGCCCCGGCAGUCCUGGAACUCUGUAGACCAUGUUGGCCUUGAAGUCAAAGAUCCAGCUGCUUCUGCCUCCCCGGUGCUGGGAUUAAGGCCUGCGCCACCACUGCCUGGCAAAUGUUCCUCUCUUAGAAGAGGUUCAAUAGUGUGGGUAUUAGAAUGUUUCAUGAGAGGAAUCCUUGGGGAUUUGACUCUUCACCCUUCUGCCUGUCACGUCUAGGUCUGCUUUUCCUGGUCUUUUACACAGCACUUCAUCCUGAACAUGAACAAGACAUUUAUAUAGUUGAGCACCCCACACCCAUGUUAUAUCCUGUAUUGAUCCUCCCUGGCUGUGGACUCCCACAGCACAUUACAGUCUAGAUCGCUUGCCCAGUUACCACUUAAGUCUUUGCAUUACUGCGGCAGGGGUUAUAGAUGCUUGCCUAGGAACUUGGGAUGCAACAUUACAGAUCUUGUGCAGGACUCAGUCUUUGAACCCUACCCAGCCCUCAACUUUUAACACCACUAUGGUAUUACUUAAGACCCCAGUGGGUAGCUGAGUCAGUUCUUCUUACCUUUCUCUUGCUCCUUGGCAUCAUAAGCCUUAUAACCCCCCUUACCCUCAAAGGGUCCUUAUGAAAGUGAAACGUGAAAAACCAGUCUCGUUUUAAAAUUGUUUCUGAAGGAUGGAACAUCAUCUAAUGUCAUAGCAUCAAAUUCCAGUUGUACAAGCUUUUUGCUAUCAAGGAAGGCAUCAUUACCUAUGUCUCAUCUCCCCUACACGAACACAGGCUUCUGCUUGUCCUGGUUGCUCCAUUGUUAUUAUCCCUGUGUGUAUACUUUGCCUGCCUCACAGGAUGAUCUUUGAGACUGCUCAGUAUUCCUACUCAUGAAAUGACACUGCUCUAAUAUAUGGUUUCUUAAAAGGAGGCUGGAGAACAAUAGAGAAAACUCUUCAGUGUAUCUGAGCUCUUGAAACAGACCCUUCAUCAAACCGUUCUUCCUUCCUUGUUGCUGUUAUCGGUGGUUAGAUAGCCUUAGAGAGUGUGCUCAUUCAGCCAUUCAGCAAACAGGGAUUGAAAAUGACAUCCCCUUAGCUAGAUAUGCUUGUUACUUGCCAUAGAGUACCAAUGUACCCUACCUUCUCUUCUUUGAUGGCCUUUCACACUUACUAUGCAUGCAUGUGCUAUUAGACUACCCUCCUCUGCUAUAAAACCUGGACUACAACACUAAUAGCUGCCGUUUAUCAAGUUGGGAACCUUUUUGAUGUAACACUAUACUGUGAAAACAAUGUGGGAUGCAACUAGCUUGCCCCAGAUCAUGUGUGGCAUAAGUAGGGAACUGAAAUAUGGAGUCAGGCUUGCUUGGUUCUGCCUUCAUUUUGUCUCUUGUGUUGUUACAAAGAGACAAGAAACUCUUUCAACUCAUUUAGCCAGGGCUGUGGCCUGAGUGUACACAUAGUGUCCGAGGGCUGCUGCUAUUCUGAAGAGGAGUCAACACCUCUCUAGGGACAGGAGCUCUCUCCAUCGUCUCUCACCACCAAGUGCUCGGGGCUCCUGGUGUCUGCUCUGCUGCUUUCCUGCCUGCUGCCAGGCAGCUUCCUGUUUCCUCAUAGCUUCUGCUUCCUCAUAAGCUUGGCUUGCAUAUGGUUCUGGCCUGUCAUGGCCUCCUCUCCCCUCCCCCUCCCCUCACCCCAGGCAGCUCUUGCCAUUUCUUUCCCUUUCCUAACUGGUUUAGCCCUUGGAGUUUUGUGAAUCAAAUUCCCAAGGGUUGAGAAUCAGAUUGGCGAGCUCAUGUUUCCAGUCCCACCCAGAUCAUAGGUCACUGGCCAGUCUGUAGAGUGGCUGCCCCUGGGUCAGAUUCCCACAGCUUCACCUAAGGCUGAGGGUGGAGAAGGAGGUACACAGGACAAGGCUCCGCAGCACUGAAUUUUCACCCGAAUAGCUUGCAGGCUUUCUGGUCAGUUCCUUUAGUUUCUGAUGUCUCUUUCAAAAUCGACAACAAUGAAAGUGGACUUUUCUAGACGGACCUCGCUAGACUCCAUCCCUAUAAUUGCUCAUGGAUUAUCUAGAAUUGAUUGUGUAUGUUAUAUACAGAGUUUCAUAUUCCAGCUAUUUCCCUUAAGUUUGAAUUUUUGGGUUUCUGUGAUCCUAUUUUGAGGUUGGACUAUUAAUCUUUUCUUCUUUGUAUAAUGGCUUAUAGAUCUACUUCAUAUUUGGAGCUUUUGAACUCAAGUUUCCUUUUUUUUUAAGUACUACAUGUCUAUGUUUUUUCUUUUUAAGCAGUUCAUGUGAAACUAUAAACAGCAUGCUAAUUCUUAGAUUCAUUUUAAGUCUUAAGGUCAGUUCUCUUAAUACCUCUCAGUAUUAUUUGCACAUUCUACUAGUAUCAGAUUUAUUUUGCCAUCUCUUUAAAUUUUAUCAUUUAACAUUUUCUUAUCUCUAGAGAACUAUUAGACAUCCAAUCGAGUGCUAGCAUUUUGGAAUAGCACAGUAUCCAAUGGGUCAUGACCCAGCAAGUACAUCAUGACUUGAGAGAAAAGCCAUAAAAAAAUUUAAUGCUGUUCUUCUGUGGUUUCAAUUGUGGUUUCCUAAGAGACCAGUCAGGACAACUGAGGUUGUACACUGGCUUUUUCUGUAGAUGACUGGUGGGACUUGUGGUAAUAGUGCAGAGGGUAGGAUGAAGUAGGGUGUGUCUCGAGUCCUCAGGAAAAGGCAUCUUCGACUUGAACAGUUGGAACUAAAACUGUCCACUUUGCAUUUGUGCUGGCUCAUAGUGAGGAAAGACAACAGGUCACAGCAAAAAAAAAAAAAAAAAAAAAAAAAAAAA